rnacentral:piRNA from 1 species
UCCACAUCUAGUCUCAGGAGGUCCUAACAA